UACGUAGGGGGCGAGCGUUGUCCGGAGUUACUGGGCGUAAAGCGCACGUAGGCGGUCUGCUAAGUUUGGAGUGACAGUUGGUGGCUUAACUGCCAAAGUGCUUCGAAAACUGACAGACUUGAGGGCUUCAGAGGGACACGGAAUUCCGGGUGGAGUGGUGAAAUGCGUAGAGAUCCGGAGGAACACCAAAGGCGAAGGCAGUGUCCUGGGGAGUACCUGACGCUCAGGUGCGAAAGCCAGGGGAGCGAACGGG
rnacentral:rRNA from 1 species